CUUGUAGAUGCUAAUGAGUCCCUUGCGAAUGUCUUGUGUUGGAGAAGCUUCUACCAAUGUAUGUUCUUGUUUGUUUAUUUCCUCUGGCAUAAUGUCUGCUUCACGCUGUUACCAGUUGCCGACAAAUUGAUCAAACAGCUCAAACUAAUCAUUUGAGGGAAAUGUUGCACAUGUAAAAUGAGAAUAGUGUGGUCAUUAUUUUGCCAUUGCAAAUAUGCGCAUCUGAAUACCUUACAGUAUAAGAAUGUAUACAUUUUAAUUAAGUUCACUUUGAGCCUAAUUAACAUCCAAAGGUCAGUCUAACAAAAUGAAAUUGAAAAUGAGACCGAUGAGUCAAACGUAGCAGGUUUGACUUGUGACGCCUGCAUAAGCCCAAGGGUCCUGGCAACUAGAAGACUGGAACCAUCAAAGGCAAUUUGCACUGCCUAGUGCCGUCACCGUGUAUCUAUUCUACUUCUCAUAUCCCAAUGGCUGUGGCUUUGCAAUUCCUGUAGUGCUGUUAUUUAUUUUGUGGUUACCUGCAUUUGCUACCUCUCUUCUUGUUCAGUGGAGGGAAGCCUGAGGCAUUCUGGACUAGUUUUUCUGUCCUGACUCCUAUUCCAGCUCAUUUCCUCCAUCCUGGGUAGAUUCUCUGCAUACUUAACUCAUGUCAGUUUUUAAUCUUGUGUCUAUGUCUGUUAGUGCAGACAAGGGUUUGAAUAUUUAUACAGACAUUUCUAAUAGAGGGUAUCCAGCAUUAAGAAGCACGUUUGCAUAGUAAAAUGAACUAAUGUGGGUCAAAAAUUAAUUCAUGUUGAAGAUGGCUCUUUCUAGAAUUUCUAAAAACAGAUACUGAAAAAUGGACUUAUCUUUCCAGAAAGUCAGUUAAGUAGACUAAGUCUUUGAAGUACAAAGAAGUCUUGUGCUUCCACCGAAAUGUUAAUAAACUCAGACUCCAGAGUUUGCCUGACUAGCUUCAUCAGCCUCUGAGGGGCUAGACUUAUUAAAGACCUUAAAAAUCAUAUAAAAGUUUAACCUUGAGGACUCGUUCUAUUGACAUCACCGAUUCCUUCAUCAUUACUAUACUCAGAGUGCAGCUGCCACACUCCAAAACUUUAUAGCUUCCAGAUGACCAGUUUUGUGGAAGUCACCCACCCCUUCAUGUAUAUUUACUCCUCCCGUUCCCUAAAGGCAGCAUUUCAGUGCUGGAAAAAAAGAGCAUGUAGAAAUACAUAUAAUGGUCGUAUAGUCGGCUUUACAGGAAAGGGUGCCUGACUGAAUCAGAUGAAGAUAAGAACAUCUGUCCCUAAGAAUUAGGGACAAUCUAUUGUCAACUUGAAAUAUUUAAUUACAAAUAUUUGGGACACACCGUAAGGAAAAUGAAAAGCAUAAAUUCAUAAUCCAGUAAACAUUAGCCCUUUAACCUCAUGGGUCUUGUGUCAUAAAUUCAAAAUAAAACUUUAAAAACUUGUUAAAGAAUAAAAGAGCCUUUCCUCUGGAAGUAAAUGAGAGGAAGGCUGAUCCUUUCGUACCCAUCUUUUGCAUUCAUCAGCAUAUCCAUCACAAAGAGUGGAGAAGGAAGGCAGUUGGUGAACAGGUAAAUAUAUAUAUAACUCAUUUAUUACCAUUUUCUUAGCACACAUUGAUGUUUGGGUAAGGAGUGAAUCUUAGUAUAGUCACUUAGAAUUUGGUAUCUGCAACAUCUGCAUAGAGUUGUAAUCUAAUCAUCUACUGUUUGAAAAAAGUUACAGUUUUGGUGAGCCAUUAAUUUCAAAAAAUUAAGAACCUCCUGGAAUUCAGAUACGACAUUGGACGCAAAGAUAAGUAAGAGAUAACCUUUAACUUUGAGGAACCUAUUUAGGCUGAGUUUUAAAUUAAACCAGGAGAAAGGGAAUGUCCCUGUUGAGGUAUGGUGGGGUAAGUGCAUCACAUUUGUACCCAAUCUCAUUUAACCUUCACAGCAACACUGCUGAAGCCUUUAUUAUCCAUUUUGGAGAUGAAGACAUUCAGGUUUGGAGUAAUUUAGAUCAUUUCCCCCAAGGGUGUAGUUGCCAUUGUGUGGCUGAGUGAGGAUCAACUGAAGUCUGUCAGGUUCAGCUCCAUUUGUGCUUGCUCCCCCUGCCCCACUCAGCAUCCCAGCCUAACUCAUGCCCUGUUUCUAGUGUCCUCACCCAUCUCUGCUCACCGCUGGCUUUUGGUUCUGUUGAGGAGUGAUGGCAGUCAGCGGGGCCAAGGGAGGAAAUCAUUUGCAGUUUGAAAACUACUCCAGGUAUUUUGAAUGUGGUCAUCCACCUACUGUCUCCUCGCAGUUUGAAGACCUCAGGGGAAAGAUGCCUUUGAGAUGCAUCCCUGAAUUCACUUCUAGAGCCUCAGGUCUGGGCAGCCCCCUCCACCUCAACAGAGCUCAGUGUCCUUGUCAUUUCAGCUGUAAAGUUCUGCUGGUCUUUUUUCCUCUCUGUCUCUUUCAUGCUCUGGCUCUCAUCUCUCAUCAAACCUUUCAGAAGAUUCCAUUUUCUGGUUCUCAGAAAUAAUUUAUCUUGCUUUUCUUGUUUUUGUUUUUAACUUAGUUGAGUAGUGAGUUUCAUAUGAAUGUAUUUACUCUCCAAUAACGCUUUCAUUUUAAGAUGUAUUAAUAAUAGGAACAGAUUUUUUUAGUAUAGGAUAAACUUACAAAAUAACACAAGGUGAAUGGAUCUUACUGCUUAGUUUAUGGUCCAGGAAAGUCUCUGGGAUUAUUUGAAGACAUUUUUUCUCAGCAGUCAUUCAAUAUCAUACUUAAAUAUAAUUUCAAAUGAUUUCAGAGUAGCAAAAGGAUUGUAUGAAAUUAGAAAAAGUGCAAGGUGUUAAUGUGCAAAAAAUAAGCAAUCACCCAGAAAUAGUUAGAGGAAAACCAGAAACACUGGUAUUUACCUAGUUUAUACACACAGUACAUUCCUCUGUGCACAGUUGCAUAACCAGUGUUGGCCCUUACCCUAUUAGCUACAGUCUCUAGGUACAUAGUCAGAGUACGAAAUUAGAUGAAGGGACCCCACACAAGGAUUGUGGUUUUAGAUUCUAAGUAAACUAACAGCAUCACUAAAUAAGGCGUGUUAGGACCUCCAAGGAGGAAGAACCUUAUUGUGGCUGUUGUUAUUGGAGACACAUACCUUCCCAAUGACAAGAUAAUAUGCUUUUUGGUUACUCCCGGAGGACUAGGGAUGUGAACCCGGGGUCCUUAAAGACUAGGCUGUUACUUGACAGCUGACUUGAUUCACAAGUACCUAAGUGCUUUUUAAAUUGGCACUUAAGUACUCUCAUGAUGAAUUCUUAGCAAGUUAUUGUCAACACCCAAUUCAGGUAUACAGAUAAGCCUUUCCAGUCUGUAACUGAUUAUAUUCUCACAUUUUGCCUUGUUGACUUUUCUCUACAUCUCUUGUUUAUCGAUCUCAUUAUUUUUAUUUUCUGACCCCUGUAAAGAGCUAGGGUGGAAACGUGGAAUAGCAUAUAAAGUUUUCAGUUGAAGGGUAUACAUACACAGCAUGGCCUUAAUGUCCUUAAAAACUGAAAACAAAAAAGAGAUGGGACAGCAGAAUUAGGUCUUCAUCUGUGUCUGGCACCAUUGGACCACUGUUAUUUGUAACCCUUAAUGACAGUAGCUAACAUUUCAUACUAUUGUUAUGUGUCAGGUUUAACUGCUUUAAGAGGAGCAACUAAUUUGAGAUCCUCACAGCAUCCCUUUGGUAUGGGUGCUGUCAUCCCAGUUUACCAUCAGAGAACACAAAGUUCAGAGGCCAUGUAAUUUGCCCAGGGUCAUAAAGCUCAUAACUGACAGCACAGUGUGUCCCCAGAACCAGACCCUGCACCCUGAAUGGACACUGCCUCUGCUGCAGUGCAUUACACCCUGAAAGAGGCUCCAUGCCCAUGGAAAGAAAGAAUUUGGCAUAUUCUUUUGAAUCCUAAAACAACAUCUGAUACGUAAGUAGAUGCUCAAAAAUUUUUAAUGAGUAAAUAAUAAGUGAGGGCAGUGAGGAGGAAAGAAAGAUUGGAGCAGCAAGUCCCAACCAGACCCUUCUUGCAGAUCUUCUUUUUAGUUGAGUGAGGGAGGAGACCCUGAUACAGGGUUACCUUAACCAGAUCGUCAAAAGCUGAUGGCCAUUGGGACCCCUGGUCUACCAGCGGAAGGAAGAAUAAUGUCAGGGUGCUUAUCACUGAAAACACAUUUUUGAGAACAUAAGUAAGAGUGUUGUGGAAGUGUGUGACAUGAGGUGGACCAAGUAAGAGUGUUGUGGAAGUGUGUGACAUGAGGUGGGCCCACAUGUCUACAGGCCAGUUGGACCAAUUUCCUGCACUGACAGUUCACCCUUCUGGUGGGCUCAGCUCUGGGCUCCAUCCCUGUGGCAGCCUCAUGGGCCUUCCAAGACUGAUGUGUACUCUGUGGUUUGUUCUCUCCCAGUUCAGCCUCUGAAGUCCAGAAUCACAGAGUUUAAGUGGGGCUACCCAGACACUCUAAGGCUAAUGCUCGUUGCCACGUUAAUGUACUGUUUUUAAGAUUGCAUGGUGUAGGUGCCACUGUAUUUCAGUUACUUACAUGGACAAGGAUUUUUUUUACUACAUCAUUAGGUAUUGAGAAUAAUUUGCUAAUUUUUUUUCCAAUGAUACCAAGUAUAAAUGCUGCCGAAGGUGACUCUUAAUAUCAGAGGGAUCCUGAGGACAGGUUGCCAUUUCCAUUAGAAAUCUGUUUUGCAACUGAAGGUAAAAUAAGGCAUUGGGGAGGGAAGUUUUGGCUAUGUGACAUCUAUAACAUCCCCGUGAUUACUCAGUAAGAAAAUUCAAGAGAUGUGGACAGGUGUGUGGCCAGCUUAGCUGUGACACCUGAUGCAAGAGAUUAGAGCUUCAUGGGGACUUUGAAGUCUUGAUGUCAGACCUGAUCUGCCCUCUCAUCUUGGGCUGCGGCUGGACCCGACCCAGGUGGCCACUGUGACCUGAGUGUUCUUCAGGCCUCCUUAUGUGCAUUGUCUCCUGCAGGGAGGAGCUGAUGAUUUUGAUGACCUUAGGGAUUUUGAAGCCAACACCAGAGUAUCACUUUUCAAGAACUAGGAACAACUUAGGUAAUAUUUUAAAAGGUAGCAUUCAGAAUUAUACUCAGGUUGCCAGUAAAUAAAUUCCAUGCUUGAGGUUGGGCAAAUGGGUAGUUUCCCCUCUACUAUUUCUGUCUGUCUGAAAACAAAGCAAAAUCCAUGUUCUAUCUCUGACAGGAAGUCAAAGAGUUAUUUGUAGAUUGUUAAAGCUGGACGAGAGGUAUAUCAGAGUCCAUAGUAUUCAGUAUUUUUUAAGUUUUCUUCUUAAUAAAACUUUAAAAUUGCUCUUUGCAGACAUAUUAGCAGAUAUCCAACUGAGUUUCAGGCCUAAUAAUUCUGCCAAUAACCUGGACUUAACUCUUGAAGUAGAGGAUAAAUAAGAGAUUCACUGUGCAUGGAUUCUUUCUAACUCUGGGUUCAGGAUGGAAUGUGGUUGAACCAAAAAAUCAACUCUCUUUCUUCCUGCCACCUGGCUUUCUUGGAUCUCUGACUUAGGGAAUCCUGGUCCUACUUGGGAUAGUGUUGAAGACUGAAUGUCAGGCAUGUCUUGACCUGUGUGGAUUUAAUAAGCCACUUCAGUCUCAGCUAACCCAAUAGUGUAAGUUAUACUCAUCUAAAAGGCUGGAGUUCUGUGAGCUAUCAAAUGUACUGUCGUCUUCAUCAAUCCCAAAUUUAUAGAAGCACUAUAUUCUAUCCCUGAAGGCUGAUGACAUAGCUUGAAUCAAGCUGCCUUUCUAAUGAGAUUUCCACUGGGCUGCCAGAAAAGUCUGUACCAGGCACAUAUCUGGGUGGGAAUUCUUUGAAACUAGAAAAAAUGUUUCCAGCCCUGCCCAUAAUGCUUCCUCACUGAACAGUAUCUCAAAUGAUUAAGCUACUGCUUUUGUGGCACGGAGUCAAACAUAGUUUGGCUGACCCCAAGACGCAGUGAAGUCAAAGAUGCCAUAGGGUCACAUGUUAUUAACAUUCUGGUACAUAACAGGGAUCAAAACUCAGUUUAUGGGUGGUAUUGCUUCAGUGCCAUAUACUAUGCUAUUAUUAGUAAGCCAAGAAUAAUAAAAUAUUCGUAAUAGCCUAAAGACUGUUAGGCAUGUGUUUUAUCCUUUAACUCUAAAUGUCCUGGAGACUAGUUCCAUAAAUGGAAAUUAAAAUAUAACACAGUCUAUUUUUUGCUUGUCCAAAUAAGGUCAUAUGUUGGGUUACCAAUGCGUAGCAAAUGACCAUUUGUUCACCUAGGUCUUUAACAUAAACAUCAGAAAUUUUCAGUGAUGAAUAUUGUCAUAUUUUGAUUUUUAUUUGGUCAUUUAAAAUAUCUUUAGAUACUUAAAACUAGAAUAUAGGUAAAAUGAAUGUAAAAGACAUUCAUAUCCGGCCUUAAUAUAUCACUUUCAAGAUUUUGUGAUUUUUCACAGCUAUAUAGAAAUAUGUACAUUAUGUAAGUGACUUUCUUUACAUGUUAGAUCCACCACUUACAUUAAUAGUUAAACAAGUAUAGAAAUAAAUGUUGUAGAAGUAAAUAGAGAAGAAAUGGUUAUUCUUAGACCGAGAAGUUCUGCUGCUGGUUCUCCAAGUCCAGCAUGUCUUUGCUUGUGUCAGUAAUGCCUUGUACUUUGUACUUGAUUUUGAGUAAGGCUGCCAUACUGAACCAAGUUUUAUAAAUAAAAGUGAAGGUUGGUCUUAUACUCUUAAUUUGCUAGAUGACCAAACUGAUCAAUGCCUUAAAUGUUCAGAAUUGUUGAGAGCUAAUUCUGAAACACAUGAUUGGAAAUUCCUCUGCCCCUGAGUCUACAGAGUUCAGCUGGUAAGUAUUUCCCUAUUGAAGUGGCAUGCAAGGGGGUGGGUUGCCCUUUAUUUCCUCUGCCGUCUACUUCCCAUACCUAAAAGGGUGUUAUUGCUGGGAGUCUCAUAAUUUUCCUACUAAGACAAUAAUUGCAUCUAAUAGAUCAGACUUGGGCCUGCUAAUUUUCAUCUAAUCAACAGAGGCAGGAAAACAUAGUCUGGAAUGCUAACUAUGUGAAUGAAAAAUAUUUAGUCAUUCUUGAAAUGAUAGGAAUGUUUUUCCAACAAGCUUAAAUAAACACAAUCUCUUUUGAGACUGUGCUAAACUUUUUUUGGAUGAGACAACUCUUAGGCAACCAAACAGAAGUUAAUGAAGGUUAUUAAGAGACAUGCCCUUCAGAAAAGGCUUGCAGACUUUAAAAAGAAAAGAUUCCAUCUUCUUUAUGCUACAGCCAUUGAUAAAUAGCAGAAUUGGUUUCCUUUUAGCUUUUGUCUACCCAGUAGAAUUUAAAAUUUUAAUUAGUAAUCAUACUGCCCAACGUUUAAAAGAUACCGUUUUAACUAACAUGGCUAUAUUAGACCAUCUUAUUUUAAAAUCCUCAUCUCCUCCUACUGUUUGCCUCAGUUCCAAGGAAUUGAUUGGACUCAACACCCCUGUAUUUAAAGCACCUGAUUACACUUUCCUAUGAAGCAUGUUUGUUUAUUCCCACCAAUACAAGGUCCCACCAGAUAAUAAAAUUAUUUUUAAACAUACUAAAAUGUACGUAUUAAAGUGAAGUGUUUUCCUUUCAGAAGUUAUAUGGGAAAAAUGUAUACUUAUUCCAGGAAUACAGUCGUUCAGAAUAUUUUUGGUGCCUCUCUUUUGAAACUGACUUUAGAGACCAUAGAACAUCCUUUUGAAUAUCCUCAGAUUUGUAAAUCCUUGACUUUGAAGGUUUAUUAAACUCUAGGAAAUAGCCAAAGUCAUUUAUGUUGAAGUCUGGUUUAAAAAAAAAAAAAAAGGUGGCCGAUGUAGCUGAGUAAAACUCUUUAGAGGAAGCAAAAAGUGACAGUAAAAUAAAGGCACUUUGUCUUCUAUGACAUAGUAAUUUGCUCUGAGAACAACUAUGAAGAGGUUUCAAAUAGAAUUUUAACAUGAACAGCAUUUUGGCAUAAGAAUAUAGCCUUUAGAAGUGAGUACUUUUAUCAAUAACACUUAUUUGUAAGUAUAACUCCUGGUGUGUUUAUUAAAAAAAAAUCAGUUCACCUACUACAUAGUAUUUUUAUGACUUCUAGGGACUAGAGGCAUAUAUUAAAAUGGUCAUAUACUGUAUUACAAUGUUUUUCUGAAAUUGCAGGUGUUCUAUUCCAACAUUUUUUUUCAAAUAAAUUAGACUAAAAUAAUUUGCCUAUAGAAACAGCUCAAAAUACAUAGUGAUUCUAAUGCAGUUUAUUUUUAGUAUUUUAGUUAUCUAAUACCACUUCUAAUUAUACCAAACUGUUUCCUGGUAUAGUCUUAAGUAUAUCUUAUAAAAACAAAAUGAUUUCACAUUGCUUAAUGUAUGAGGGUUAGCACUGAAGAUAGUGAAAAAUCCAGUGAGCCACUGUUAAAGCCCCUAUUAGAACUUUUCUGUGCUAUAUCUAUCUGAUUAUUGAAGAUACAGUGUACAGAUACACAAGCAUAUAAAACAUCUGUUGCAAUACCACUUUAAAAUCGUAGGACAGAUUGAAAGAAGGGAAAUGUUAAAGAACGCCUCUUGCAUUUGUGUGUGUCUCCCCAUCGCAGGUGGCUGAUGAAGUGGCAGGAGCAGCAUCAUACCCACCUAUCAGCCACCUGCCAGGGGACUCAGCAGUGCCAGAUCUUGGUCCAGGGGUCAUACCAUCAGUUUAAUCUAAAUUCGACAUGGGAUGAGCAAUACAGGACAUUUAGCAUGUUUCUGAAAUUUGCCAGAAAGCAUGCAUUUUGUUUUACAAUAUUUUGAGUUUAAGUUGAUUAGUAGUUUGACCAAAUUUUUAUUUACCAUUUAUAUCUACAGAACUGUUUACACCUCAGUGGAGUUUAACUUUCACAUCUGAGAGAUUAGCUGGAUUUAUCUGGUUUGUUUGAAACACAGCCCAAUUCAGGUAUAUGGACCAUUUGAGAUGACAGAAUUUAAUUCUGGCUGCCAACAAAAAGGUGCAAUCCAGGGCUCCAGUUCUUACUUUGCAGCAGCGUAGUGAAACACAACUAAGAAUCCUCAAGAUCCUAAGGCCAAGUACUUGAUCCUUGUGGACCCCGCAAAUCAUGUAACUUUCACAUUGGCUGCUGGGGCAAACCCAGAAUUGAUUUGCAAGCCACCACUCAACCAGCACCAGAAUUCAAAGCAUGGAUUCUGUGUGCUUACCUCAUCCCUGCCCGCAGCUUACUCUUUUCUAGCUAAAAUUUACCUGGAUCCCCAUUUCCUUACUUUAAAAAAGUAUUCAUGAUAUAAUUUGAGACUUGCCUUGAAUCUAUUAUGUAAUCUAAUGACGUAUAUUUAUAUGCUUCUUUAUGUAUAUUCAGUGCCUAUCCUUUGCCUGUGCCUUUGUGCCUUGCAUGGUAGUCGAAUCCCCUUAGUUUGCCUAUCAGUAGGAAGACAGGAGAUCAUGUUGUUUUUCACCUUAAUUGAACAGCUCACUUUUAAAACAUGUCAACUCACUUUUAAAACAAUUCAGGGAGUCUCUAUUUGUUAGGGAAGCUAUAAUAUGUUUGGAGAUAAUAAGCUAUCCACUUGGGAUGACCUCAGGCCUUGCAUAUUGAGAGGGUGGGCAAGCUCAGAUCUUUUCAAAGCCAUAAAUCUCUCAUCCUUUCUGGGAAUCAAGUUUUUUAAAGAUUCCAUGGAGAUUUUAUGUCAGACGAAUUCCACAGGGGGUGCUUCACAGUCCUGUGACAGAGAUACUACGAACAUGACUCAUUGCUUGAGAAGCCCCUACAUUUCUUGUUAUGAAAGUACUGGUUGAACUUUCUCUUAUUGUUGACAUAUGUUUGAGAUCCCUGACUUCCUAAUGCUGAGAUUUGCUGAUUAAAGACAGUUUUUAGAAAUAGGUCUUCUGUAUCUUUCAACUUGAGAGUGGCAGAAACACUGGCAAAGAUAAAAACUAGUAUAAAUGAUACUGUGAUGGGUUUGCCCUUGUCCCUAAAGAUCUAGCAAGGCCCCCAUCAUGAGAGAGGAAGAACGGGGGCCAGGCACACAGAGGCAUUGUUUCAACCCACAUUGGAUUAGCUGAUUACUAAGAGAUUUCUGUUCUCUUGGAGACAUCAUAGACAUAGUCAAAAUGUAGAACAAUGAUAUCAGACUGCUACUCAGCAAAUGUGAAAGGCGCAACUGGCUGGUCACUAACAUGCUCCAAAGCUUACCAGACCAUAUGAAAAGACAGCACAGACCCACCCACCAUCUCACAUGCUUUUCAUGUUAUCAGUGGAGAUAGAAAAUGAUACUUAAGUUACAAUAGGCAGGGUUCAGAAUGCCGAACCAAUUGCCAUACCAUUUAUCAGCUGAGCAUUUGAGGUCUGUGAAAGGGCUAAUAAUUCAUUAGCCAUUACCCGAGACCAGUUAUAGCUCUGAGCAGACAAGAUCAGCAUGACAUCAAUAAUUACAACAACAAGUAAUAUUGCUGUCACCCUUACAGUAUAGUCUUUUCUUGACAAUCUUGUUUGAGCAUUAUAGGAAUAUUGUAAGGUAGAAAUAAUGAGUAUUCCCAUUUUCUAGAAGCCCGGAGAGGUCCAUCAUAACAUGUUAGCCUAAGGAGAGAGCAGAGACUCAAGCUAUGUUUUCUGACUCCAAAUCCAUGACCUUGGCAUUGCUUCCCAGUAGACCCCCAUCGUGAGAAGACGGGGGAUGAGGAAGAUCAGAUGGUGAAUAUCAAAGUACUUGAUCAUUGUGGCUUAGAUUCAAAAGCCAGUCUCUCCUGGCCCCAUCCCCAUUGCUGAGACCCAGUUACUGUUAUUCUGAACUCUGUGGCCCAGCCUUUGAUCCCGGGUUCUUUUCAUGAGCCUCUGACUGGAAUUUUGACCUUGCUCUUUGACUUCUGGGAGAGCUGGAUCUGUUUUCUGCUUCCACUUGUUCAUUCCUGCAUCCUCCCACCUAGGGACAUUACUCAACCCAAGAGCCCUGACCCACUCUCCCAUCCUGUCAAGCUUGACCUCUGCCCAUUCUUGUUCAUAUCCGUCCAAAUUCUAGGCCCCAGGCCCUAACCAUUGGCACUUAAGCCCCCACUGAGUAAAUGAGCUGCUCAGCCUCCAUCAGUCUGCCAGGCACCAAGAUACCAUCACCAGCACGUGUGCAUUCUGCUCUGCACUCUUCCUUUUCUUUCUCUGAUUCUCGUCAGUGUCUAAUUAACUCGGUUGUCAGUUUGCCAGGCAGUCAGCAAGUGCCCAUAAUUUCAUGCAGUAGAAGAUGAGCUCCUGAGUUGAAUGACUGCCUAACUGUUUUCAGGAUUAUUUUAAUAACCCUUUUUAUUUGGCAUCAUCAAGGAGUAGGGUAGUUCCAGAAGUGAAUUCUCCAGGUAAUUAAAAUUUGGGAUGUCAGAUCUUACAUGAAGAAUUUUGAUGUGAGGCCUUCUAUAAUACUUUGUGUACUUUUGUGCCUUCUUAAACCAAAGAUACAGAUCAUAUUUUAACCCAUCUCAGGAAACUGAGUGUCAUCACUGAGUAAUCUCAUUUUGGACAGAUUUGGGGAUUUGCACUGUAUUUUCACUAUUACUAAGUAUGUCAGGUUUACAACAGCGUUCAGCUCUGGCUUUCUGCUUCAGUGGAGCUCAUUUAUUGUGUACCUCCUAUGUGCAAAAGACUGCCAUAGUGAUGUGGACCCUAAGGAACUUACUGUCUAAUCUUCUAAAAGUUAGAAAAUUAGAGAUUACAGCCUCUUAGGACAAUUUUGAAUGGGAGCUCUUCUUUGCCAAAUAAUGUACACUGACUUUAGGUGCUUAGAUGUCUUUCUUUUUGCCUUUUUGUUCAUUCAUUGAGCAGUUCUAUAGACCAAACUGCUAGGUGCUGAGGAGAUAAACAGUGAAUGAAGUAUUGUCCCUAACAUGCAGACCCUUCCUCCCUGGUUUUCAACCAUUUUCCAGAAGGCUAGGUUCCAGUUACCAAAAUUCUGACCGCCUGACCCACCCUGUACAAGUUGAAAAUAGCUACCUAAAUGUGCACACACACAAACCCGCAUACCUAUUAAUAUAACACAUUAUUUCCAGUUAAAGUCUACGAAAAUAUAAUUCCUGUGAACAUUAGCAAUAGAAAGAAUAAACAUAAAAUGUAAGACAAGUAUAAAAGAUCUAGAUUCUUGGAAUCCAGUGAUAAUUUUGUGAGCUGUCUCAAGCUGGAUUCCCAGAAAAAGAUACCGCACUCUAUAUUAAAAAAAAAAUUUAAUUUGUCUUUUGUGUUCUUUUAAUAAUCUCAAUAAUACUAUCAUCUUUUCCUAUUAAAUAUGGUUUUGGUAAAGGAAGAAAAAUAUUAAUAUGUUUAACAGCCAAGAUUCCUUGGGAAAACCAUACAAAAUUAAUAAAUAGGUCUAAAAUAAAUAUAUGGUUGCUUCCCUUUCCGAUCACAAAAUAAUACAAAUCUUGGGAACAUUUGCACACUAUUCAUUUUAAAAUAAAAUAAACUGCUCUGAGAUAAGUACUUCAGAAAUUACAAGGAUGUAGGUGUUGUUAUGAGAAAUGUACAAAGGGAAAAAGGAUAACCAAAUGUGUAGCGGCUGAAAGAAUUUGAAAACUCCAACCGUAAGAGACUUUUUUCCAUGACUUAAUGAGGCUCUCUUAAGUACACAUUCAAACGCCAUGGAAAUUCCCACUUCCAGAUUAGGGAAUUUUUAUAUCUUCAAUUUUCUUUUCUUAUUGUCUGCUUUAGUAGAGUUUUUCCUCUAGCUUCAUUUGGGAAAAUUUCAUCUUCACUGUACUUUUCUUCCCAAGAUGCAAUUAUGUUGACAGUUUGGUGAUUUAUUUGAAAGGUGUUCUGACCAGUUAUGGCUCACAUUUGAAAAGUAUCUGUGUUAGCAGUAUGACAUACGAAAAUACAGCAAAAUAGACAAGCUUUGAUGCUGCCUUGGCCAGCCUUAUCUCCAGUUUUAUGGCCCCGGCUAGGAGACCUGAUAUAUUUAGCCAUUGAACUGCCAUGUAAAGUCAGUGACAUUUUGGAAUUUUCCUACUCAUUGGAUAGUCACAUUGCUUAACCAAGUUCAGCCCCCUCCAACACCCCAAUCCCUGCCCAAAAUAAAAAAAUAAAACUACCUUAAGAAAGAGUGCGUGAAGUAAGUCUGAAAAGAAAGCGUAAUUGUUCAUAAUCAAAUAAGCAGGCUUGGGAAUUUACAGAGAAGAGCUAUGUAAAAUAUGCAAAGCAUUAUUAAAGCCCAAAAGAAGAAGUAAUAAGAGAAACGAGAGACAGAUAGAAAUUGUUAGCUUCAUUUAUCUUAUUACUUCUACUUGAAUUUUUUUUUCACUUAUGAAGAAAUGUAAGAAUGUAUCUGUCUUUAAAAAGUACUUUUUCUAUAAUCCCAGCACUUUGGGAGGCUGAGGUAGGAAGAUUGCUUGAGGUCAGGAGUUCGAGACCGGACUGGGCAACAUAGUGAGAUCUCAUCUCAAAAGAAGAAGAAGAAAAAUAAAUAAAAAUGAAAACAAAGCAUUUUUUCUGGAAAUGUGCAUACAAAGAGGUUUUUCCAGAAAGACUUUUCUUAGUGUGUGGGUGUGUGUGCGUAUGAAUGCAUAGGAACGGAGGGUGCUGGCAGACAGCUGCUCUCCACAGCCAGGCCUGCAGUUCACCAGGGGACAACACAGUGAGGCAGCAGUCCUACAGACAAUCAGAAUCUAGAAACAGAGUUAAUUACCCUCCUGACAAGACAGUGCUACACACAAACCCAACAGGGAUGGCUGUGUAUCCCUUCAACAGUUGUACAUUUACAGAGUCACCCACCCAUAGUCAAGAGCUGCUAAUUGGUUGUCAGCUUUCCCAGGGCUGCUAAUCAGAAAGAGUGCUUCAGACAUUUCUCAAUGGAGAUAAUUAAUAUUAUUUAUGAGAGAGAACUAGCUCAUGGUAAUCUAUCUAAGAACCUUGUAUGGAUUAAUUCAAAACCAGAAGUUCAGUGGAGUAAUACAGAUUAGACAGCAAGUUAAAAGCAUCUAUUAACAUUGUCAUUUAAGCUACAUGUACCUGAAAUAUAAAAACUAAUUAUUAUAUUAUUUCAGAAGUGAAUAUGCCUAAUUAUACAUUUAAAAAUAACAGAAGGUCAAAAUAUGUUCAUUUUUAUUGUUCUCCCAAAGUUGUUGAACUAUAUAAUGUGAGGAUAAGACUGAUCUAAAAACUUUAUACUAGCAUCUUAAAGGGCUGAAUUUGAAUUUCAGCUUAUUACUUCCUUGGCCACUUUUUGAAGAAUUUCUCAUAAAAUAAAAUCACAAAAGGCAAGAAAGUAGAGAGCUUAGAUUUGCUUAACACAUUUAUAACACCUGAAUAACCGAAUAUAUAUUUAUGGUCUAGUACCGUGGCCUUGAAGUUAGAUUCAUGAUUUUCAUUUUAACUUUAUACUUUAAAUCAAAUUAAUUGUGAUGCCAGUAGCUUAAUUUCACCAUUGAGUAGAUAAAAUUGCUCCUAGGAAAUAUGUGAAUAUCAAUAUAAAAUACCGAUGGUGUUUUUCCAUAACUUAGUGUCUGAAGCUCUCUAAUUUGUAAAAAAAUACUAACAUUUUCCUGGAAAUACUUUUACUGACAAGACAUCUGUUAGGCUUUUUAGGAUAUGAAAGAAGUAACCCUAAAUUUUUAAUAAAUGUAAAAUGAAGAAUCAGCGUGUGUUUGUUUAUGUUAUUGCAUGUUGUAAGAUACUUUGUCAAAAUUUUGUUCUCUUAAGACUUGGGAUAAGAAUUGGUGGCUGAGCAUCUGCACUCCUGACAAUCCCAAGGGUUAUUUUAAAAAUAGCUCUUCUGGACAGUGUAAGGUGCCUGGAGGGUCUCUCAAAAUUGUUCAAGAAAACAACAGGUUGAGGAGAGUAAUGUUUCCCACUCAGAUGCUGAGUAGGAAACAAGCAAACCGGAUGUAGACAUAACAAACACCCAUUUUUGUUCUUUAUUGCUUCUAGGCUCAAACUAUUUCUAGAAUUCUUCUCCACAAGGAAGCUGUUCGAGGGUUCCCUUUAGAAAUAGUAGUAGCCAAAGACAGUGAAUUCCUGCUGUUUCAAGCCUUCUUCCUUUGGAGGACAUUAAGGUAUUUCUUUAAUUCCUCAGCUGAUUCAAUACAAGAUGAGAUAGAAUUUCAGGGUGAUCCUAUAAACAGUACUUCACUGAAUUUCCCCUCUCCAAAACCCCACCUUUAUGCAAGCAUUUCAUCAUUCUCCUAAAUCUAAGACCAUUUAUCUCCUCUGAAAGAGGCCUACUAACACAUACCUACCCAGCCAGUUUAAAGGAGGACAGUUUUCUUUGCUCCAAGCAACAAGUAUCACAUACAGGGAUGCAUCAGUGCCUCCAGAAAUCUUAGCAGGACCUCUGUUCAGUUGAACUUUGUUUACCAAACACAUCAAAGAUAGGGGAUCACCAUCAUCCUUCUAGAAAGGCAUGUACUCUCUGACACACAAUUUCAGUGCCAUACCCCAUGUAAUAUAGGAGCAUAGAUAUGUAGGAUUUAAAUAAGAAUCUUCUGGUCUGCAGACCAAAACCCGACAGGUAUUUUCCAUAUUCAAAGCACUGUUGCAUAGACUAGAGAAUAACAAUUCUGGGAUAAUAACAAUUCCUGAUGAACAAAUUUCAUGAUGCUCUAACUUUUAGACAAGCAGAAUGUAUGUUUCACAUACUUUGCUGACACUCCCUCCAGCUUCUUUAUUUUUAUUUUUAUUUUUGGAUGAGAAACAGUCAUACUGAGAUACCAUGAUUCUAGAUCCUUUAAAAUCACCUCUUCUCCCACCAGGAACUCUCUUGGAUAAAAGCUAUGUUAAGAAUCUGACCAACUCUUGGUCAUUAUUCUUUAAGAACCAUAAAUAUAAUAUUGAUUUGAAAUGCUUUAAUUCAGCACGGUGUCAAAUAUGUCUCACUUUGGAGUUAAUUGUUUAUCAUAAGAAACUGAAUCUCAGUUGUCUCGUGUCACUUGUUUCUCAAAAAAUCACCCUGAUAUUAGUAGUAGGACCAGUUCUGAUAUUAUAUAAUAAUAUAUUGGACUGAAAGCAAACUCUCAAAUAUGUUUAAAAUAAUAUGAGAUUUUUUUCUAGAUAAUUUAUAAAUAGGUAGAUAAUCUAUAUGCUUACAGGUCAUAUUUUUGUUGUAAUGUUGUUCUCACAGAAAUCUAACUACUCUGGAUAUGGCCUCAUAUGAUAGGAAACCAAGCACUAAAAUGUUGGGAGAAUGAUGAAAGGCAGUAGACUGUAAUGUAUGACUUCAAUUGAAAUGCCAGGAGACAACUAGUUGCCUGCAAAUGUGUUUAUUACAACUCAGCGGUGACUCCAAUGACAUAGGAUAUUAGCAGUAAGGACCCAAGAAACAUGUGUUACCACCCAGAAAAAACCUUUAAAAUUUGUUUCAGUUUGUAUCUGAGUAGGAAAAUGAGAUGUAUUUGUUAAAUGUAAUAAAAUGAGAUGCCAAGUGUUAAAAUGUCUUUUUAAGAAAACCUGGACUUCUAGCUAUAUUUAACAUAUCACAAUGACUAUUGUUGUGUUCAGCCUAAUCUAUCGAGGGGAAAUUGAAUGGUUCUAAAGUAAAUUGAAAGUUUUCAUGAAUAAAAGAUUUUGUUGCGUUUUUCUGUGUUUAAUGUUAAAUAUUGAGGGUGUGAAAAUUUGAAAUGGCUAUGCUUCUCCAUUUCUUUCAUCUAAUAUAGGUCAUAAGUGAAUGGGAAAAUAUUAAUUUUAGAGGCACAAAAUGAUUUUUUGCUUCUUGCAUGCUACAACAUUGAGGCUUGGAAGGUAUCCCGUAGGACUUGUUUUACCUGAAAUAUUUAACACAUACAUUAUAACACCAGCACAUACUGAAUGACCCUUUCUUGCAAUUUUAUUUGUUCAAGUGAACAAAACCUAUUGUGCUGAAUAUUUUAGGAAAACUAUUGAACGUAUUUCCUCUCGUGGAGAAAUGUGUGUUACAUGUACAUCUGUGACUGUGUACGUAACUGUUGAAGCCAUUUGGAACUGUUGAAGCCAUUUGGAUGGAUUGGCUUCUAUGACUGAUACGGGGCUGCCCAAGUCAGCAUUGUGGUUCUGAUCCUCAAACAACCCAGUCCAUUUGUUCCUUUCACUUUGUAGCCACAGAUCACAACCUUAAUCUCAUGGUUAAUCAUAAUAUAUUUAAAAAAAAAAAAAAAAAAAAAAAAA